CAUGAAGAUGACAGUCAUUCUCGUAGUAGGAAGGCGCGUGGGCAAGGCGGUGUAACCGCCGGGCGGAAAGCUCCCAUGCGCUAAACACAGGCUCCCUCGGGGGCCUUUUUUAUUGGCCGAAA
rnacentral:sRNA from 1 species